GACUAACCGCGCAAACGUUGUUCGGAAUCACUGGGCUUAAAGGGCGCGUAGGCGGCUUGCAUAGUCGGUGGUGAAAUCCUGCAGCUUAACUGUAGAAGUGCCUCCGAUACUAGCAAGCUCGAGGGAGGUAGGGGUCUGUGGAACUUCUGGUGGAGCGGUGAAAUGCGUUGAUAUCAGAAGGAACGCCGGUGGCGAAAGCGACGGACUGGACCUCUUCUGACGCUGAGGCGCGAAAGCUAGGGGAGCAAACGGG
rnacentral:rRNA from 1 species